CUGAGAGGUUGAACGGCCACAUUGGGACUGAGACACGGCCCAGACUCCUACGGGAGGCAGCAGUGGGGGAUAUUGCGCAAUGGGGGAAACCCUGACGCAGCAACGCCGCGUGAAGGAUGAAGGUCUUCGGAUUGUAAACUUCUUUUAUUAAGGACGAAGAAAGUGACGGUACUUAAUGAAUAAGCUCCGGCUAAUUACGUGCCCACAG
rnacentral:rRNA from 1 species